rnacentral:rRNA from 1 species
UAACGAAUCUUCCGCAAUGCGCGAAAGCGUGACGGAGCAAUGCCGCGUGCAGGAUGAAGCUCUUCGGAGUGUAAACUGCUGUCAGGGUUUAGCAACACAAUGAGCAGACCCAAAGGAAGGGCCGGCUAACUUCGUGCCAGCAGCCGCGGUAAUACGAAGGGCCCGAGCGUUGCGCGGAAUCACUGGGCUUAAAGCGUGCGCAGGCGGACAUGAAGGCGUCUUGUGAAAUCCCUCGGCUCAACCGAGGAACUGCUCGACGAACCACAUGUCUUGAGGCAGGUAGGGGCCGUCGGAACGAUAGGUGGAGUGGUGAAAUGCGUUGAUAUCUAUCGGAACGCCGAAGGAGCAAUCAGGCGGCUGGGCCUGUUCUGACGCUGAGGCACGAAAGCGUGGGGAGCGAACGGGAUUAGAUACCCCCGUAGUCC